CCUACGGGAGGCAGCAGUGGGGGAUAUUGCACAAUGGGGGAAACCCUGAUGCAGCGACGCCGCGUGGGCGAAGAAGUAUUUCGGUAUGUAAAGCCCUAUCAGCAGGGAAGAAGAAAUGACGGUACCUGAGUAAGAAGCACCGGCUAAAUACGUGCCAGCAGCCGCGGUAAUACGUAUGGUGCAAGCGUUAGCCGGAUUUACUGGGUGGAAAGGGAGCGCAGGCGGCACGGCAAGCCUGAUGUGAAAGCCCGCGGCCCAACCGCGGGACUGCAUUGGGAACUACCGGGCUGGAGUGCCGGAGAGGUAGGCGGAAUUCCUAGUGUAGCGGUGAAAUGCGUAGAUAUUAGGAGGAACACCAGUGGCGAAGGCGGCCUACUGGACGGUGACUGACGCUAAGGCUCGAAAGCGUGGGGAGCAAACAGGAUUAGAUACCCUUGUAGUC
rnacentral:rRNA from 1 species